AGGACGAACGCUGGCGGCGUGCUUAACACAUGCAAGUCGAGCGGUAAGGCCUUUCGGGGUACACGAGCGGCGAACGGGUGAGUAACACGUGGGUGAUCUGCCCUGCACUUCGGGAUAAGCCUGGGAAACUGGGUCUAAUACCGGAUAUGACUUCAGGUUGCAUGACUUGGGGUGGAAAGAUUUAUCGGUGCAGGAUGGGCCCGCGGCCUAUCAGCUUGUUGGUGGGGUAAUGGCCUACCAAGGCGACGACGGGUAGCCGACCUGAGAGGGUGACCGGCCACACUGGGACUGAGACACGGCCCAGACUCCUACGGGAGGCAGCAGUGGGGAAUAUUGCACAAUGGGCGAAAGCCUGAUGCAGCGACGCCGCGUGAGGAUGACGGCCGUUCGGGUUGUAAACCUCUUUCAGCAGGACGAGCGCAAGUGACGGUACCUGACAGAAGAACGCGACCGCUAAACUACGUGCCAGCAGCCGAC
rnacentral:rRNA from 1 species